AAAGGAAUUGACGGGGACUCGCACAAGCGGUGGAGCAUGCGGUUUAAUUCGAUGCAACGCGAAAAACCUUACCAGGUCUUGACAUCUUGUUGACCACUCUAGAGAUAGAGUUUCCCUUCGGGGCAACAAAGACAGGUGGUGCAUGGUUGUCGUCAGCUCGUGUCGUGAGAUGUUGGGUUAAGUCCCACAACGAGCGCAACCCUUAUCAUUAGUUGCUAACAUUAAGUUGAGAACUCUAAUGAGACCGCCGGUGACAAACCGGAUGAAGGUGGGGAUGACGUCAAAUCAUCAUGCCCCUUAUGGCCUGGGCUACACGCGUGCUACAAUGGCUGGUACAAAGAGUCGCGAAACCGUGAGGUCAAGCAAAUCUCAUAAAACCAGUCUCAGUUCGGAUUGUAGUCUGCAACUCGACUACAUGAAGUUGGAAUCGCUAGUAAUCGCAAAUCAGCAUGUUGCGGUGAAUACGUUCUCGAGUCUUGUACACACCGCCCGU
rnacentral:rRNA from 1 species